rnacentral:rRNA from 1 species
UACGUAGGGUGCGAGCGUUAAUCGGAAUUACUGGGCGUAAAGCGUGCGCAGGCGGUUGGCAAAGUCAGCUGUGAAAGCCCCGGGCUCAACCUGGGAAUUGCGGUUGAAACUAGUCGACUAGAAUCUGGCAGAGGGGGGUGGAAUUCCACGUGUAGCAGUGAAAUGCGUAGAUAUCUGGAGGAACACCGGUGGCGAAGGCGGCAUUCUGGACUGCAACUGACACUGAACGACGAAAGCCAGGGGAGCAAACGGG